AUGGCAACGCCACGGUCACGCGGCCGGCAUGCGAGUUUAUGCGCUCUGGAGUGGGGGCCCUCGUCCACCAUCCAUACCUCGAUGUAUCGCCACCAAAUCAUAUCCGACCCCGCCGCCCGCGCCCGGGCGCCACCACCCGCUCCUCCUCGCCUCCCGGAGGACGUCUGUCGCUCUUCCUUCGCCCGUCCCGGAGGCCUCAGUCUGCGCCCUCCGUUGCAGGGCCGCCGCGCUCGUCCUGCCCUCGGCGCCGCACCUCCACCGCCAUCUCCGCUGGCUCCUCGCCGACGCCUCCGCCCUUCCCCGUCUAGCGCACCGCUUGGGAACGAGCACUGGAAGGACCUGGUGGUCACCGUCCGGGACGACGUGCUCAUCCCGCGGCCCAAGACGGAGGCCCUCGUGGACAUGGUAGCCACCACCGACUACGAGCGGGGGUCCUGGUCCUGUCCCUCGUCGUCCUCGGCGGCGGCAUUACGGUUUGGCUCCAUCGCCGUGCCCUGCGUCGACGUCUCGAUCAGCUUCACGGAUCGCCGUCUUCACGAGGUUGGUCGAAGAGGGCUGGAGUUCAUGCCGUUCCUGAUGUCCCUGUCCGUGUUCCUCUUUGGCACCUCCUGGUUCAUCUACGCCCUGCUCGGCCUCGACCCCUUCAUCUUCGACCUGAUCCUAGUGUUGCUGUUGCAUCUGGCGGAGCUGCCGUUGGGGCCCCAAAAGGAAUUCUACCUGAAGAAAUUCGGAGAAAACUUGAAGCCCCAAAGACAACUUGGGAACCAAGAAAGCACCUGGGGGAGGUCCGUGGGGAGCACAACCCACCAGGGCACACCCAGGAGCCCAGGCACGCCCUGG
rnacentral:rRNA from 1 species